GUGUCGUUCGAAAGCCUUUGAUUUGUCCGCAGUUAAGGGGCGCUGAAGAGAGUGAAUUGAACCCUUCGCCCAAGCUGAAAGCGAUUUGGAUCAAGGUCGCCGAGCAAGCAAUCGUGGGAAUUCAAUUAUUAAGAGCAGUACGCGCGAAGUUAUUCAUCAAGUUAGUUUGUAUUUAGGGUAAUCAUCCUGCCUUACUUCAUAUGAAUGAAUUUCAUACAAAAGAAUGUGACUUAGCAGCAUAUAGUGUGAAAAGAUGAGUAUCAAUUAUGGAUUCUUAAUUGCUCAUACUUAAAUCAUCAAAUACAGUUAUAAUCGCUUAUCAUUGCUUGUCAAAGUGACAAGUGCAUAUCAGUUUAAUAGGCUCUAUGACGGGCAGUUUAGACUAACUAAGUAGUAGGUCUCGGUCUCGAGUCUUAUCAGUCAAGCGCCAAAGGCCAAACAUCAGUGGAGCAAUCAAUGGAGGCGAAGUACAUAUGUACUUAUUUGCAAAAUGUGUUGAAUGGAAGUGGAUCAUCAUUGCCCCUCAUAAAAGGAACACAGCGGCGCACCCAUAACAGGGAAAAUAACGAAAGGAGUAUGAGAAAUAUAUAUUUAUACACAGACGAAGGUAUCAAAGCAAUCAGGGGGUGUAUACAACAACAAUGGAGUGCUGCUGCCUAACGACAAAAACAAGAGAGAGCGAGAGCACAAGGGAAAGUUGCGGAGCACCCACAGCUGCACUGCGUCACCCCUUCGCAGACGGUUUUCCAUUUCGCAUAAUUUAAUCAGUGUUUAAUUGGCUUAAGGAAAAACAACGAAUAUUACUCACCGUUUU
ensembl:ncRNA lncRNA:CR44851 long non-coding RNA:CR44851